rnacentral:ncRNA from 1 species
AGGUGCGUUAAUGCUUAAUAGAGAAACAGGUGUAAAACCUGUGCUGUCCCGCAGCUGUAAUGCAGAGCAAGCCUUAAAAAUGUCACUGGGUAAAACUGGGAAGGCAAGGCAAGCGAUGAAGCAGAGCCAGAAGAACUGCCUGAUUU